UACGAAGGGGGCUAGCGUUGCUCGGAAUUACUGGGCGUAAAGGGCGCGUAGGCGGAUACUUAAGUCGGGGGUGAAAGCCCAGGGCUCAACCCUGGAAUUGCCUUCGAUACUGGAUAUCUUGAGUUCGGGAGAGGUGAGUGGAAUGCCGAGUGUAGAGGUGAAAUUCGUAGAUAUUCGGCGGAACACCAGUGGCGAAGGCGACUCACUGGCCCGAUACUGACGCUGAGGCGCGAAAGCGUGGGGAGCAAACAGG
rnacentral:rRNA from 1 species